AACAAUGUCAUCUUGGCUGCCAGUGUUGUUAAAUUGUCCCCAAUUCCGGGUCACUUUACUGCUGGGACAUGUCAGUUUGUGUAGUAUUUGGUUUAGAAGCCUUAAUUUGUGAUUUUUCAUGGUACAAAGUCCUGCUAUUCACUGCGUUGCAGUAGCUCCAGCUGAUACUAGUU